AUGUUCUCAGCCAUAACAGUGACCACGGAAAUCUUGCAGGUGUGCUAUAAAGAAAUAUUGUCUUACGUAACAACAAUGGUCUUGAUCUUGGAGUACUGCAAGCGUUCAGGUUCCUUCAAGAUCAUGAAGCACUUAACAGUGGUCGUUAAUGGGGGACGUUUCUUGUAUGCAGGUCCCUGUCAAGAAAUCAUGGUAAACCUCGUAAUGACCAUUAACAGAACUUUGCUUGCAUCCAGGUAAGUGAUGAUAUGAGCCUAAAGCACCUUACAAACAAUCUGAUCUUCAAAUAUUUAGAUUAGUGUGGAUGGCCCUAACAUUUGUGAUAGCAUGUUUUUCUGCAUGUGUUCAAUUAAUAAAUGAUAUUGUCCCAACCAAUGUUAGUUGUAAUCAUUAGCCCUUAGUACUGCAGAGUUUCUAUUCAAUGUGUGUUUAAACUUAGCAGUGAUGGAGGCAGAUACAAGUGUCUAGGUAAGUCAUCCUUCUGUUCCACACCACAGUCUUGUCUAUGAGAUUCCUACAGAUACUCAAGAAGGUGAUGUCUCUGGUAAUGGUGUUAAUCUUGAAGUUUUGCCAAUAUCCAGUUAUGAUGAUGGUUUCCCUAAUAAUGGCAGUAACCAAGAUUAUUUGUAGGUACCUUUUUUUUUUCCAGGUAAAGUAAAUCAUGUCCUUCAACACACUUGUUGUUUUUUUUUUUUAAGGUUCCAACCAUUAUGACCUUGCUAGUAACCAGGUAUGUGAUAGAUCGGUUCUACCAAAAUAUAGAUCCACCUGAUCUUUGGAUGUUUAGGGGUGUGAGGAUGGUGUCCCUAACACAGCGUUACUAUGCUUUUUACUGGUGUCCCAUUAAGUUCUUUGCUAGUAUAAAAAUAUGAGAUGAUGUGACAGUAAAUCAUUAGAGGUUUCUUAUUUUCAGGUAUAUAGGUAAUUAAUGUUUCCUAGACCUUCAUAUUAAUCUUUUUGGCAUAUACACAGUUCAGAAAUCAAUUUUUUCCUACCACUACUAGCAUGAGAUUUUACUGUCUCCUUGUUCAGAGAUAAUAUGUGUUUUUACCAAUGGACCUAUAGUCCGUUAUCCAGGUAAUUUAUCAUAUAUUCCAUACUCUUGAUAAUGACUGUGGUAUCUUUGCAGGCAUCUCCUCAAGAAAUGAAGGUAAAUCUAACUAGAAUUUAACCUUUUGAGUUCUACGUAUUGCCCAGGAUUGUUGAAGGGGGUCCCAAAAUAAUACACUAACCAAGAGAACUUGCAGUUAUCCAGGUAGAAUAAAAUGUGUAUGGAACAAGUUUUCUAUGCUGUGUUUUCAGGUUCACGUUAAAACAUCAUGGGGAGCGCAUCAGUGAUGGUAAAUGAGGCACAUAGCAGGUAUUGAGGUAAGUGAUGAUGUGGGCCUGAACCACGGCACAGACCAUCUGAUCUUGUAUGUAGGUAAGGGAUUGUGGCCCUAACACCUCUCAUUACUAUGAUUUUGUUGCAGGUAUUCAGGUAAGAAAUGAUAGUCCUUACCAAAUCUAGUGACCAUGACUGUACACUUUUUACAUUUUUUAAAAGAUUUAUUUAUUUGAGAGAGAGUGGGAGAGGGAGAGCACGCGCGCCUGGGUGCAGGAGGGUCAGAGGGAGAGUCUCGAGCAGGAGCUCGAUCCCACGAUCCUGAGGUCACAACCAGAGCAAAACCAAGAGUCAGAUGCUUAACCAACUGUACCCUGACACUUUUUACAUUUUAGAGAUAACCUGUUUAACCCUGUGAGUGUUGCGAGUUCACUGUAUCAGUAAUUGUCAAGUUCCCACCCCAGUGGUAACCACAGUGUUUUUGCAGGAAUCCAGUUAAGACACAAUGGCUUUCUUCUGACCAAGGUGUUGACCUGAAUUAAUACAAAUAUCAGGGUAGAGUCGAUAAGUUCUUCACUAAAGGAAGUGAAAAGGAUGAUUAGCAGGUAUUCUGGUUGAAUAAGUCAUGUCCUUAAACAUAUUUAUCCUGUGUGUUUCUUCAGUUUCCUGUCAAGAAAACACAGUCAACCUAACAGUGUUUGUUAAUGGAACCUUGCUCUUAACCAGGUACAUGAUAAACUGAAUCUUAUUGCAUUGCAGACCACCCGAUCUUCAGUAUGAAGGUAGGUGAGGAUGAUGUCUCUAAUACUUGUGUUACCCUGUUCGUUUGCACGUGUCUUGUUCAGCUCUUUGCUAGUAUACACGUAUGAGAUAAUGUGACAUUAACUUACUGGAGACCUUUUUAUUCUCAGGUAUCUAUGUAAUUAAUGUUCGAGACUCAUAUUUAUCUUGUUUUGGCAUAUAUGCAGUGAAGACAUUAAUUUGACCCUAAUAGUAAAAAUUAGAUUUUUCAUGUUCUUAUUUAGAGAUAAUAUAUAAUCCAAAGAAUUUAUCCUAUACCAUCAUCAUGUUCUUGACUUUGGGGAUUUUUUCAGGUAUCCCUUCAAGAGAAGUAGAUGUCUCUUCCCAGGGUUUGACCUUGGAGUUCUGCAAGUAAGUAUCCAGGUAGUGCCGAUAGGUCCUGAAAUGAUAU
ensembl:lncRNA